CCAAUCAGCUGAUUCUUCCGUACGUUUGUUUUUCAGCUGAUUCGUCCCUGGAAAUCGGCGGUCUCGCGGGGCAGGAGGGGGGGAUGGGGCUCCGAACAACGGGACUCGUUGGACAACACGAAUUGCCAGUGUUGUUCACAUGACGGUCGGUGCUUGAUGUGCGAAUAGUCAUAAUAGCGAUUCGAGAAAACUUGUAACGACGAUUUGAAGUAAAUAUCGUCGUUCUUCGUUAUUGCGGCCUACGAAACCGCGUCAUUUUUGUCAUACGCAAAAUGACCGUCCGGUAUACCCUUGACUAUUCUUUGAGCAUAGCUUGAGCCACAUCCAAGCAUAGUCGCAAUAUAAUGGAUAGCGUGACAGGAAUAAUUUAUGCAAUAUGUCGAGGAUUUAUAGACAGCUUGAAAGGUACCAUUGUUAUUUUUUACAUGGAUAAACAAAUUAAUGAGAAAUUAGUUGGGAGAUCUCCUAGCAGAGCAGAUCUUAAAAAAAAAGACUUGGUUAUGCCGAGUCCCUCCAAGAAUAAGCAACGAAAAUCUAUGGUGUUAAGAAGAACCUUACAAUGCUGUACAUUAAACGGUGGAGUAUUUUGGGCUAGUAUAUGGAUAUUUGAGUUAGGACUUCUGCCAUUUGUUAAGUACUUACUGACUGUUAUAUUCGGCCAUUCUCCUGGCAUGGGUCUUACUGUAUGGUCAUGGAUCGAACCAUUUCUAUCUCUUAUAUUCGGUACAAUAUGGGUACUGCCACUAUUCUUACUCAGCAGAAUAGUUAACAGUUUGUGGUUUCAGGACAUAGCAGAUAGCGCUUACAGAUACAGACAGGGAAGACCUUUAAUUCUGUCAAGUGUAAGCAAAUUGAUAGCUGACACGCUUUUUAGCGUAUUAGUUCAAGCGUUAUUCUUGGGACAAGGAAUGUUGGUAUCCAAAGUUCCACUACCACCAUUAGGGGACAUUCUUGCCCUUGUCCAUAUGUGCCUUUUAUAUGCUCUCUAUGCCUUUGAAUACAAAUGGUUCAACAUGGGUUGGGAGUUGCAUAGACGAUUGACUUUUAUUGAAGGAAAUUGGCCAUACUUUUUAGGCUUUGGUAUGCCAUUAGCGAUACUUACUCAACUGCCCAACUCGUACUUUAUAAGUGGCUGUGUUUUUUCCAUUUUGUUUCCACUUUUUAUUGUGAGUGGAAACGAAGCCGAACCUGUAACUGGAGUAUGUGAUUGCCAGUUGAAAUUAUUUUCGCCAGUAAUUGCGAUUGCAAACACAUUAUUUAAUAAAACCAUUGGACGAGCCAAUAAACGGUGACGAUGAAGACAAAAAAGAAGAAUAAAUGCUUAAUUUAUGCCAUUCAUAUAUUAGGAUAUGCGUCUACAUCUUACCAAAUCAACCAACCAUUUGUUACAGAAAAGCUCAUAUGCAAUAAUAAUAAUUACAUAAAACAAUUUUCAAAAAAGGACCAAUCAGUACAAAUAUAUUUAUUUAUACAUAUAUAAAUAAUGCGUAUAUAAACAGCUUAUUCAUACAUGUGAUUUCCUAUUCAAUAAUAUAUAGAUAUACAAGGAAUAUACAAACUUGAUUAUAUUUCAUAAUUUUUAUAACAAUUCAUCUUUUUUGAGCUUUUUAUGCUAUAGCUAGUCAUUUUUCAAUAUCGAUUUGAGAUCUCUAAUCGGCGCUGUGGUAUAAACAUAUAAACAUAUGCUGUAAAAAUAAUAACACUGCAUGACAGUUGAUAUAUCCAAUCUAUUUAUAAUAUAAUCCUAAUAUAUAGAAUAGGUAAACUAUUGUCCCAAAUUAUAUAAAUCAUCUAUAUAAUAUAGUGUUCUGUAUAUCAUACAUGACUAUUUUAUAUUCUUCUUUAGGAAUGUUAUAUUUUAAAGAUUUUUUUAAGUAUUUUGUAUAUAAACGCCAAUAGAAAUAUCUUGAUGAAUUGAAUCUGUUGAUUCUAAUUACAUAUUGUGCCAUACAUAUCAUUUGUACAGGAAAAAUUCGUCCAAAAAA